UACAGAGGGCCCAAGCGUUGUUCGGAUUCACUGGGCGUAAAGGGUGCGUAGGCGGUUUGGUAAGUCUGACGUGAAAUCUCCGAGCCUAACUCGGAAACUGCGUCGGAUACUAUUCAACUCGAGGAAUGGAGGGGAGACUGGAAUUCCCGGUGUAGCAGUGAAAUGCGUAGAUAUCGAGAGGAACACCAGUGGCGAAGGCGAGUCUCUGGACAUUAACUGACGCUGAGGAACGAAAGCGAGGGGAGCAAACGGG
rnacentral:rRNA from 1 species